AUAGAAACAAAUCUGAUGAUGUUUAAAUUAGUAUGACUAUCACAUUUGUUGCAUGAAAUUAUUCUUACAGAACCAACUCUGAUGAUGUUUAAAUUAGAUGAGAAGCUGAAGUUGAUAGAAUCUCGUCUGGAAAGCAAAAAUUGAGGGCCCACUUCAGGCUUACAUCCUCGUUGACGUACAUCACGUGAUAUUCCUCCGGUGUGGAGUUAAGAAUUUGGGGGUUUCUUUCAAGAAGCAAGUAAAAUGUACAGCAACUAAAGUUUACUUGGUCUCAAAUUCUUCUUGCCCAGGUUCCAAUGGCUCCAAAACAGCCAAACACAGGACUCUUUGUGGGUCUAAAUAAAGGGCAUGUUGUCACCAAGAAGGAAUUAGCAC